rnacentral:tmRNA from 1 species
GGGGGCGAACGGGUUCGACAGGGCCGGUUCGAUUCUCGAUCGCGAGCCGUGGAUUCUCGUUGGCCACGUAAAAAACGGGAAAAAAAGUAGCUGCGAACAACAACUACGCCUACGCUGCCUAAGAGCAGUGCAUCGCCCGGUCUUGAGUUGGUAAAGAUCGGUCACGGUGUAAAAAAAUCCAACUAGCGACGGAAGCCCUCGUCUGAGGCGACUUAGCGAAAUUAACCAGACUGGAUAGUGUUUAGGGCGGCCUCGGCCUAGGACACGUCGAGAAAGAGACAGAGGAGACGCUCGUGGUGGUCGUGGGUACGACGAUCUUGGAAGGGAGUUCAAUUCUCCCCGCCUCCAUCC